AGUGAACGCUGGCGGUAGGCCUAACACAUGCAAGUCGAACGGCAGCACAGGAGAGCUUGCUCUCUGGGUGGCGAGUGGCGGACGGGUGAGGAAUACAUCGGAAUCUACUCUGUCGUGGGGGAUAACGUAGGGAAACUUACGCUAAUACCGCAUACGACCUACGGGUGAAAGCAGGGGAUCUUCGGACCUUGCGCGAUUGAAUGAGCCGAUGUCGGAUUAGCUAGUUGGCGGGGUAAAGGCCCACCAAGGCGACGAUCGUAGCUGGUCUGAGAGGAUGAUCAGGCACACUGGAACUGAGACACGGUCCAGACUCCUGCGGGAGGCAGCAGUGGGGAAUAUUGGACAAUGGGCGCAAGCCUGAUCCAGCCAUACCGCGUGGGUGAAGAAGGCCUUCGGGUUGUAAAGCCCUUUUGUUGGGAAAGAAAUCCAGCUGGCUAAUACCCGGUUGGGAUGACGGUACCCAAAGAAUAAGCACCGGCUAACUUCGUGCCAGCAGCCGCAGUAA
rnacentral:rRNA from 1 species